rnacentral:lncRNA from 1 species
UAAUUAGAUCGUGAAAUAUGCUUUCGCUUAGCAGUCAGAGCUAUUCGUUGUCUCAGCUCCUAAUGGCUGUCACAUAAGAACUAUGGAAGUGGGGUUGAGUGGACUGUAGUGAGGAGCAUGUGUUGUAAAAGAUUGCUGAUAAAAUAACAACUAAACUAUCCAAUUGGAUGCUAUUCGAGAGAUCGCAGUAUAAGUAGAAGAAGAAUAAUUAGUAAAUGUUAUUAACAUAAUCAUAAAGAAAUAAAUAUAAAAAAAAUAAAUAUAAAAAAAAUAUAGUCAGAAGCGAUGGACGUGUAUAGUGCAUGCAUUAUUCUAUGGACAUGGUUUUCGUCUUCCAACUUGGAAAGAUGUCCAACCUUUCUAUCGCGUGAACUUCUGAUAUUAAGUUAAACAAUUUUGAGCCGUUUUAACGACAAAGAGGAUAUGCUUUUGUCUUAAAAACUUAGAAAACCGGUUGGAAACGGAAGUCUCUACAAUAUUUUCACAAAUACCGCUAAUAUCGCAUUUCAAGUUAUGUAAAUCGAAAACCUAUGGAUUACACAAAUAUUCCCAAUUCGCAACUGCCAAUCAUUAAAUGACAAUG